GGUGAACGGGCACACUGGAACUGAGACACGGUCCAGACUCCUACGGGAGGCAGCAGUAGGGAAUAUUGCUCAAUGGGGGAAACCCUGAAGCAGCAACGCCGCGUGGAGGAUGAAGGUUUUAGGAUUGUAAACUCCUUUUGUUAGAGAAGAUAAUGACGGUAUCUAACGAAUAAGCACCGGCUAACUCCGUGCCAGCAGCCGCGGUAAUACGGAGGGUGCAAGCGUUACUCGGAAUCACUGGGCGUAAAGAGCGCGUAGGCGGGAUAGUCAGUCAGGUGUGAAAUCCUAUGGCUUAACCAUAGAACUGCAUUUGAAACUACUAUUCUAGAGUGUGGGAGAGGU
rnacentral:rRNA from 1 species